UACGUAGGGGGCUAGCGUUGUCCGGAAUCAUUGGGCGUAAAGAGCGUGUAGGCGGCCCGAUAAGUCCGCCGUGAAAGUCCAGGGCUCAACCCUGGAAUGCCGGUGGAUACUGUCGGGCUAGAGUCCGGAAGGGGCGAGUGGAAUUCCUGGUGUAGCGGUGAAAUGCGCAGAUAUCAGGAGGAACACCGAUGGCGAAGGCAGCUCGCUGGGACGGUACUGACGCUGAGACGCGAAAGCGUGGGGGAGCAAACAGG
rnacentral:rRNA from 1 species